CCUACGGGGGGCAGCAGUGAGGAAUAUUGGUCAAUGGGCGCGAGCCUGAACCAGCCAAGUAGCGUGAAGGAUGACUGCCCUAUGGGUUGUACACUUCUUUUAUCAAGGAAUAAAGUGCGGCACGUGUGCCUUUUUGUAUGUACUUUAUGAAUAAGGAUCGGCUAACUCCGUGCCAGCAGACGCGGUAAUACGGAGGAUCCGAGCGUUAUCCGGAUUUAUUGGGUGUAAAGGGAGCUUAGAUGGGUUGUUAAGUCAGUUGUGAAAAUUUGCGUCUAAACCGUAAAAUUGCAUUUGAUACUGGCAUGCUUGAGUACAGUUGAGGUAGGCGGAAUGCGUGGUGUAGCGGUGAAAUGCUUAGAUAUCACGAAGAACUCCGAUUGCGAAGGCAGCUUACUAAACUGCCACUGACAUUGAUGCUCGAAAGUGUGGGUAUCAAACAGGAUUAGAUACCCGAGUAGUC
rnacentral:rRNA from 1 species